GGACGAUUCCAAGGAUCACUGUUGUUGCUAAUUUUUUUUCUUUUAAAAAAUACAGAUAUUUUUAAUAAAAGUAUGUUAAUUAUGUUAACCUGUAAUGGGCUUAUUAUUUCAAAAUCAAUUAACAAUGUAAAUAUUUAAAACUUCUGUGUUAAAAUUUCUAAUAGUAUAAAUAGCAGUAGAUUUAGCCCACUCUAAGGGAGAUGGUUGUGCUUUAGUCAGGAGUAGGCCGAGGCAGCCUUCUGGUGCAGCAUGACUCAGUGGGUUUGGAGGCAGGCACACAACUCCACACAUUAUGUAACCAUGCCAUGUGAGGUGCAUUAGGUGACCACUCAUAUGAGCACGUGCUUGGCUCAAAGCCACUAUUGUCUGUAAAAGGUAAAAUUACCCUGCUGACACUACAUAUGGCUUGCACCCAGAGAGAGAAUAAAGCCAUGUCGAAACCGCCUACUCGAGUGUUUUUCCAGUUACCUGCCACCCACCCACCAACUCCCCUUGGACUUUAGUUUGGGCUAGAACCUGACAAUUGGCAUCACGAACAGGAUCCUAAGGUAAGUGAGCCUUCGGUCCCUGCUGAUUCCAGGUUGGCCAUGUGACCACAACAUGGGUUGUGGUACCCGGUGGUAGCCGUGCUGUGAGGGUGGGCCUGAGUGGAAACCUGGGUGGCAGUAGAUGGGUCCCCCAUGAGCAUGGAGAAGGCGCUGAAGCAGCUGGAAGUGCAGAGCACCAAGAAGGAGAGAGCCUUUGCUGGCAGAGUUGGAUGGGCAUUUUUAACUGUGCUAAGAAAAGUACACACCCAGUCCCUGAGGGAUGCAGACUGGAGGUCUGGCUACACCGAUCUGGAAAAUAAUUAGAGGCUGCCAUGAAUGGGGACCUCCAGGUGCAGGCAGGAUGCCUGGAGGUGUGGCUUCAGAGCUUGGAAAAGGAAUUAGAGGCUACCAUGAAUGCAGGCCUGGGUCCAUCAUCUUGUCUGGAGAUCCCCACUCAGUUUCAUACCAAGGAGGAAGAACCCCUGUUGCGGGCUCACCCGGUGGUCUGACAGAAGGUAGAUCAUGAACAGCCACUGGGGCUCCAAGGGUGGACUCAGGGACUCCCCACCAUAAUGCAACACAUUUCGUAUAUUGCCUGUACCCCAACUGAGUUGCAGGAAUUAGGCAAGCAGUGUUGCCAGUGUCCAGGGGAACCCCUGCCUGCCUGGAUGCUUCGUCUGUGGAACAAGGGAGCAGAUGGUAUCUCCCAUUCCACCUCUGAGAUGGACAAGCUGGCCUCCACCAUGACUCACCCCUCUCUCUGUCAGCGGCUGCAAGUGAGCAGGUGGUUAGUGGCAGCGCAAGGAGACCACACCCUGACUGAGUGGCUACAGGCAGCCAUAUGAACUGUGUGGAAUAAUGCUGGUGAAAUGCCCAAAACUGUGAGUAAAUGGCAGUCAUAUGCCAAUUUGGUGUAAGUCAUUCGGGAGAUGGGUAUGCGGCAGGCUAUGUUUGUCCUGAAUACCUGAGGGCCAGAUGAUAAAUGUUUCACCUCCCACAUGAGGGAUCUCAUGUUGGGUUUGAUGCUCCUGAGCCCCUUUGGCUCCCUAGCUGCUGUCCUCACCCCAUACGUAGGGCACCGCAUACAUGAAGUAACCACUGCCAUGGCGGCUCUCAGGGAAGCAGAAGGCCUUCAGGGGGAUUGGAGGGUCCACACCAUAAAGAAGGGGAAGUUACCCCACCCACAGGGGGCUCCCCCAUAAAAAAAGGGGGCCCCAACGAGUGACACGCUCACAGAUGUGGAUAGAUUUGAUUUUGGCUGGGGUUGACUGAGAGAAAAUUGAUAAGCAGCCCAAUGAAAUACUCCUAACUUUGCGGAGACAGUUGUAUGCAGGGCAGCAAUUCCGGAAAAUGCCCAAAGGGGAGAAAGGCAUUGCUGUGUGACCUGGUCCUACCCAGCUCAGAGACUACUUGCUGCAGCCAGGUGGAAAUGUAGAGCCUUUUCUGUUCAACUAGGGAACUGGCCAAAGGUGUCUGGCUUGGGGGGACACCAGAUGACCAGAGGCCACAUGUGGAAUUGGCAAUCCACUGGUCCCCCACCAAUGUACAGUGGGUGCUGGUGCUGGUAGAUACUGGCAUAGAUUGUAGCCUUGUUUAUGGGAACCCAGUUAAGUUUUUGGGCAAAUCUGCAUAUAUUAAAGGUUACGGAGGCCAGUCAGUGAAAGUGAAACCUGUAUCUCUGUACCUUGGCAUUGGCCACUUGGCUCCUUGCUUAUACACUGUGUAUGUCUCUCCCAUACCUGAAUACAUUCUGGAGGUGGAUAUUUUACAUGGCUUGGAAGCUGUGCCAUCUAUCAUGGAUUUGAUGAACCACUCGACAAUGGAAUUAGGACAGUACCACUAUGUGGUGGACUUGGCCAAUGCAUUCUUCUCAGUUGACCUUGCUCUAGAGAGCCAGGAACAGUUUGCCUUGAUGACAAUGGACUUUCACAGUGUUGCUGCAGGGCUAUGUGCAUAGCUCCACCAUAUGUCAUGGUCUUGUUGCCAUGGAUUUAACAGCCUGAAAAUGUCCAAAGGGAGUCCACUUGUUCCAUUACGUUGAUGAUAUUAUGUUAACCUCUGAUUCUCUUGCAGAUUUAGAAGCAGUGGCACCCCUCUUGUGGCAACAUUUGGCAGCAUGCAGUUGGGCCAUCAACAAAUCCAAGGUCCGAGGGCCUGGAUUACCUGCUAAAUUCUUGGGAGUUAUCUGGUCGGGGCUGAAGUUCCAGGCUGGACCUGAUGCUCCAAACCUUGAAUGAAUGGCCAUGGAAAAGCAGCCCAGCCCAGGUGGAGGCUUUGUUACAUGGGCCACCACCCCUAUUCAGUUGCAGAUACACACCAAGGGUAACCGCCUCUGACCAGGCAGGAAUUGAGGUUGUUGCAGACCUGCGUGGAUUUGCUGCCAGUAGCAGGAGCAGAGGACUAGGCCUUGGAGACGGUGAGGGGGCCACUCCCUCCCUAUCCCCAGGCAUCGAUAAUAGAAAAGAAAAAUUGCCAUCUGCACACCAGGUGCCAGGAGAAGGGUUGAUUAGCUGCAGAAAUGAAACAACACCUGAUCCUGCAGCUGCAGCUGGAGCCCCCGCCUGAUUAAGUUUACACUGGUCCACUGUCAUUUUCCAACACCUAUUUGUCUUCUGCACAAACCAGAUAGGGACACCAUGAUCAACCAGCCAAUGCCAAAGACCUCUGGGGGUCAGACUAUUCUGAGGACUGCUUUGGCUCCACCGUCCACAGUGGCAACCACACCCACUUGGUCUUUUAUGCGGGACAUGGAUGAAGCUGGAAACCAUCAUUCUCAG
rnacentral:lncRNA from 1 species